GACGAACGCUGGCGGCGUGCCUAAUACAUGCAAGUUGAGCGCUGAAGGUUGGUACUUGUACCAACUGGAUGAGCAGCGAACGGGUGAGUAACACGUGGGGAAUCUGCCUUUGAGCGGGGGACAACAUUUGGAAACGAAUGCUAAUACCGCAUAAAAACUUUAAACACAAGUUUUAAGUUUGAAAGAUGCAAUUGCAUCACUCAAAGAUGAUCCCGCGUUGUAUUAGCUAGUUGGUGAGGUAAAGGCUCACCAAGGCGAUGAUACAUAGCCGACCUGAGAGGGUGAUCGGCCACAUUGGGACUGAGACACGGCCCAAACUCCUACGGGAGGCAGCAGUAGGGAAUCUUCGGCAAUGGACGAAAGUCUGACCGAGCAACGCCGCGUGAGUGAAGAAGGUUUUCGGAUCGUAAAACUCGGUUGGUAGAGAAGAACGUUGGUGAGAGUGGAAAGCUCAUCAAGUGACGGUAACUACCCAGAAAGGGACGGCUAACUACGCG
rnacentral:rRNA from 1 species